GUCACACUAUCGUUAGCUGAAUACAUAGGCUAACGAGGCGAACCGGGGGAACUGAAACAUCUAAGUACCCCGAGGAAAAGAAAUCAACCGAGAUUCCCCCAGUAGCGGCGAGCGAACGGGGAGGAGCCCAGAGCCUGAAUCAGCUUGUGUGUUAGUGGAAGCGUCUGGAAAGUCGCACGGUACAGGGUGAAAGUCCCGUACACGAAAACGCACAGGCUGUGAGCUCGAUGAGUAGGGCGGGACACGUGGUAUCCUGUCUGAAUAUGGGGGGACCAUCCUCCAAGGCUAAAUACUCCUGACUGACCGAUAGUGAACCAGUACCGUGAGGGAAAGGCGAAAAGAACCCCGGCGAGGGGAGUGAAAAAGAACCUGAAACCGUGUACGUACAAGCAGUGGGAGCCUCUUU
rnacentral:rRNA from 1 species